ensembl:lncRNA
CUCUUCCGCUUUAAAUCGCGAGUGGUUGCUAGGGGCGCUCGGAGCUGAAGGCAGGUGCUGAGAGUUCGCUUUUUCGAGAAUGUGUGACCACGUCCCAAGGUUGGCAACUAGGAGAACUUGUAUAGAAAGUUGAGCUGACUGAACCCUUGGCUGGAUAGUCUCCUCGCCGACUCCCGCAAUCCCCGCCAGAGCACAUGGGUCCCAGUCUCUCUUCGCCCUCUACCCUCCCGGCGUUUCUCAAGAUCCCUGGCUCGUCCCGCUCCGGCGCGGAUUUCCUCCAGGGCUCGACGUGAGAGGUGAUGGGGUGCGCUACGGUGCAUUCGGGCUCGUUUGUUGAGAAAAGUUAGUGAGGUUUAGUCAGUAGGAAAGCCUUCAAGCUUACGCACCGCACCAUCAAGCCCUAACUCCAAAGUGAUGAUGAAGAAGAGACACCAGAGAGUGCUCUCCCCUACCUGCCCCCUACCCGACAAGGACAGGGUGAGAACGAGAAGGUGGCUAUCUGCAAAUCAGGAAAAGGGAUCUCACCAGAACCUGAAUGUUCGGGUACUCUGAUCUCAGACUUCUAGCCCCUAGAACUGCGAAUUUUUCUUAAGACUGGCUUCAUUCUCAGCAAACUCUCCCUUCCUGGUGCAGGAUGGCUGCCAGUGGCUUAAAUAUCCUGUGAGGUUCUCUUUGCAACCUGAUGAUUUGCUGGUGCAAUUCCAAAAGAGAGAAAUAUAGCUUGUCAGAUUACAGUACAGCUCAUCUUCCCCAGAGACCAUUAUGCGACAAUUAUUCAGAGAACAAAACCCUAAGAAGUGCCCACACUGAAAGAGUUGACAGAGAAAGAUGAUUCUGCAAAAGAACAUCUCUGUGUCCUCGGCUCUGAGAAACCACUUGGAACUACCAAAAUAGAUGUCACCAAGUUUAUAUAGCAGAGUUGAUGGACUUUAUUGAUGGAAAGUAUUCUUCAGUCCUCACUUGCCAUGAUUCCAGAUGCAGUUCUAACAGGUUUGUUAUCUGAUACAAUGAUCAUCUGGGUUUUUUUGUUGUUUGUUUUUGCUUGUUCACUAUUCUUUCACGUUUAGGCAAAAACCUGAUUUUCUUUUGGGGAAACUAGUUCUAACUUUUCAACUUUGUGGUGUUGAUGGGACUGCUACAAAAUGGGCGCAUGAUAAAGAUUUUUCCAGGAGUUCCUGCUGUGGCUCAAGGGUAAUCCAUGAGAAUGCAGAUUCAACACCUGGCCUUGCUCAGGGGAUUAAGGGUCCAGCAACCUUAAUUUUGAUGCAAGCCGUGGUGUAGGUCGCAGAACUGGCUCAGAUCUGAUGUUGCUGUCUGUGGUGUAGGCUGGCAGCUGCAGCUCCAAUUCGACCCCUAGCCUGGGAACUUCCACAUGCUGCAGGUACGGCCCUAACAAAAGAAAAGGACCUGGCCAGUCCCUUGGCCACACUAUGAUUGAUUCUGAAAUGGGAAUGUGGCCCAAUCUGAGCUAUUGCGAGCCUUAUCCAGAACUUUGCAUGGGAUUGCUAGAUUGUUAAGACACAAUACCAAGCUCAUGUUGGGCCACAGUGGGGAGAAUCCAUAAGGAAAAUGAAACCAACAUAAAGAGGAAAGCAGAGGAGAGGUAGAGGGACAGAGACAGAGACAGUGAAAGAACCCAGUUCUGAUGUUAUCAUUUGGGCCCCUGGAACCAAUCAUAACAAAAACUCUUGGAUUUUUCAGUUAUAGGAGGCAAUAGCCCUUUUUCCUUAAGCCUAUUCGAGUCUGACGUCUGCACUAAAAAAAGUCUUAACUAAUUCAUCUGGUUUUCUAGUCAAGAAAAUUAGAAGCAACAAUAGAAGAGGGGUUUUGCUUGGAGGCGUGCGGAUUAGCAAUUUCACUAUUUUUUUUAAAAAAUUAUGAAUUCUGAGCGCUUAAUGAAAUAAAAUCCAAUAUUUUGGAGUUCUGUGCUGACACCAAAGG